rnacentral:rRNA from 1 species
UACGUAGGGUGCGAGCGUUAAUCGGAAUUACUGGGCGUAAAGCGUGCGCAGGCGGUUCGUCGUGUCUGAUGUGAAAGCCCCGGGCUCAACCUGGGAAUGGCAUUGGAAACUGGCGGACUAGAGUAUGGCAGAGGGGGGUGGAAUUCCGCGUGUAGCAGUGAAAUGCGUAGAUAUCAGGAGGAACACCUGUGGCGAAAGCGGCUCACUGGACCAUAACUGACGCUGAUGCACGAAAGCUAGGGGAGCAAACAGG